UAAACACCUGUUAAACAUUCACUCACUUUCUGCACGUAGGACGCGCCAUUCAGGUCGAAACACUUGUUAAAAUAAUACAAACGAUUACGGCCUCUACGCCUUUAUCUUAACCAUGGACAACAUUAAAAGUUAUUGCGAAAAUUAAAAACCUCAACAAAGCUGCUAAUAAGACGUCUGAAUAAGCUGGCUCCUUCCCGACCUGCAGCUCACCAGUGCAGCUGCAAGAAAGGCUGUAGGAGUUUAGUCGUGGUGUUAACUCGAAAUACAACGUUAUUGACAGCCGCGUUCGCACGCGUUUGGUCGGAGGUCCACCGAAGUUGUGGGAUCACCGCGGAUAGCAGAUGAAACGUCAACGGAAGUGCGCCAUGGACGUCCGGGAGCUGUUUAAGGAGCGUUUAACUGAACGCCCCUGGCGGCCAGAGCGGGAAACUCACCUGCACAGCUGACUGACUGCAAUGAAAAUCGAGGAGUGCGCGAAAGACCGCAAAUGCUUUGGCUAACGAAGAUCCGUGCCAUUUAUUCGCACCUACGGUAAUAUAUUGAUCAGAUAAGGUUUCAAAUCUGGUUAGCAAACUAGAAAAGAGUCGUGAUUGAGUUGAGCUGAGUCAGUUUACGUGAAAUUCGUGACUGGUGAUAUCCGUAUAAUCCCGAUAGGCGAUUCGUUGAUUAUUCAUGG